rnacentral:tRNA from 1 species
GGAGAGGUGGCCGAGUGGUCUAUGGCGCUCGCCUGCUAAGCGAGUGUACGUUAGCGCGUACCGCGGGUUCGAAUCCCGCCCUCUCCG